GUACACAGAAUUCCAGGUAUUGUGUGCUGAUGAUGUAUUCAUACUCCUACCCACCUCAAACUAUACCACCAUUCCUUACAGAUGGUGUUCCAUUUCAGGUGUUCUUUACAGGGUAGAUCAAGCAAUCGUUGAUUUGAAUUGUCCAGCCCAACAUGUCAAAACUGGAACAGGCUUUGACAAUCCUGCAACUGCCAAGUGACCGCAUUGCAGGAUCUCAGUGUUGCCCAGGAUCUCAGGGGCACGAGCAGAAUUCACAUUAUUCGAUGACACUUCCCAGCAAGCUACCACUGUCUUCAUUUGCACCACUGUCAUACAGGGGGUACACUGAGCCCUAAGACUGAUUCUUAUCUAAGCACACAGAAAGCCAUCACCUUGUUUUCCCAGGACUUCAUCACAGAGUCUACAAACAAGAACAUUACAGUGGUACUUUUUUUUUUUUUUUUUUUAAGGAAAUUGGUAGAUAGAUCUGAACUGUUGCCGGACACAGACCAGUGGGAAGGUCAGUUCUUACACCUUUGUUGGUGCCCUUUCUUCCUCAACUGAAAUUUUGCUCUGUAAUCCUUUAUAUAAGAUCCUUUUCUCAUUCCGCUGGAUUGGGCUUGUAUUUUUUAUUUAUAAACGUGACCUUUCUGUAUUUGUUUCACUAACCUAUUUUUCUAUUCCUGUACUAAUGUCUUAAUUGAAAACAACGUAACAUUAGCCUUAUGAUAUUUGAUAGUGCAUAAUAGAGCAGUUCACACUGUUUUUCACAGUCCUGUUGGCUAAGUUAAUGGUUUUUUUUCCUAUAUUAAUGAAGAUAGUUUUCUCAAAUUAUAACAACAGCUGUUUGGCAUACU